GAAGAGAGGAAGCCAGAAAAAUUCUGCUAACCAAAAUAGAAACAGAAUGGAGCCUAUACCACGGCCAGGGCCUGGGCACUGCUGCCAGCCAGAGCUAAUAGUGCGAUAAACAGCCAUGCAAAAGCUGCUGGCGGUAACUGUCUUUAUCUGCAACUGUUUGGUGUCUCUGCCUCCCUCUUCGCAGCCCAUGCCUGGUCGUGAUGGUGCAGACGGUAAACACUGGCAACAUCUGUCAAGGUAUGUUUGCACAGGACAAGGAAUGAAGACUACCAGCAGUUUCAAAAGAGACAGCAGCCUGCACCAGCUCCCACGAACAGAGGAUCAACAGGUCUCUGUUUACAUCCUUGCAGAGACAUUUGACCCUGGAGGGUCCCUCAGGUUAUAUUUUCCACCUUUUCUCCACAACCAAGAAGGCUAGAACUUUACAAAGAGGAGGGGGAAGGACUCAAGGAACUGGGGCUUUAAGAAGAACACCAGAUACUGUGAUAAAAUUAGCAAAGAGUCCAGCAUGAUACUCGCACGAGGAAAUAAGGAAACAGAUCAACAGAGCCAGA